AUUAAACGCUGUCGGCAUGCCUUACACAUGCAAGUCGAACGGUAACGGGUCCUUCGGGAUGCCGACGAGUGGCGAACGGGUGAGUAAUAUAUCGGAACGUGCCCAGUAGUGGGGGAUAACUGCUCGAAAGAGCAGCUAAUACCGCAUACGACCUGAGGGUGAAAGGGGGGGAUCGCAAGACCUCUCGCUAUUGGAGCGGCCGAUAUCAGAUUAGCUAGUUGGUGGGGUAAAGGCCUACCAAGGCAACGAUCUGUAGUUGGUCUGAGAGGACGACCAGCCACACUGGGACUGAGACACGGCCCAGACUCCUACGGGAGGCAGCAGUGGGGAAUUUUGGACAAUGGGCGCAAGCCUGAUCCAGCAAUGCCGCGUGCAGGAAGAAGGCCUUCGGGUUGUAAACUGCUUUUGUCAGGGAAGAAAUCUUCUGGGCUAAUACCCCGGGAGGAUGACGGUACCUGAAGAAUAAGCACCGGCUAACUACGUGCCAGCAGCCGCGGUAAUACGUAGGGUGCGAGCGUUAAUCGGAAUUACUGGGCGUAAAGCGUGCGCAGGCGGCUUUGCAAGACAGAUGUGAAAUCCCCGGGCUCAACCUGGGAACUGCAUUUGUGACUGCAAGGCUAGAGUACGGCAGAGGGGGAUGGAAUUCCGCGUGUAGCAGUGAAAUGCGUAGAUAUGCGGAGGAACACCAAUGGCGAAGGCAAUCCCCUGGGCCUGUACUGACGCUCAUGCACGAAAGCGUGGGGAGCAAACAGGAUUAGAUACCCUGGUAGUCCACGCCCUAAACGAUGUCAACUGGUUGUUGGACGGCUUGCUGUUCAGUAACGAAGCUAACGCGUGAAGUUGACCGCCUGGGGAGUACGGCCGCAAGGUUGAAACACAAAGGAAUUGACGGGGACCCGCACAAGCGGUGGAUGAUGUGGUUUAAUUCGAUGCAACGCGAAAAACCUUACCUACCCUUGACAUGUCAAGAAUUCUGCAGAGAUGUGGAAGUGCUCGAAAGAGAACUUGAACACAGGUGCUGCAUGGCCGUCGUCAGCUCGUGUCGUGAGAUGUUGGGUUAAGUCCCGCAACGAGCGCAACCCUUGUCAUUAGUUGCUACGCAAGAGCACUCUAAUGAGAUUGCCGGUGACAAACCGGAGGAAGGUGGGGAUGACGUCAGGUCCUCAUGGCCCUUAUGGGUAGGGCUACACACGUCAUACAAUGGCCGGUACAGAGGGCUGCCAACCCGCGAGGGGGAGCCAAUCCCAGAAAACCGGUCGUAGUCCGGAUCGUAGUCUGCAACUCGACUGCGUGAAGUCGGAAUCGCUAGUAAUCGCGGAUCAGCUUGCCGCGGUGAAUACGUUCCCGGGUCU
rnacentral:rRNA from 1 species